UACAGGGGGUGCAACCGUUGUUCGGAAUUACUGGGCGUAAAGGGCUCGUAGGCGGCCAACUAAGUCGGACGUGAAAUCCCUCGGCUUAACCGGGGAACUGCGUCCGAUACUGGAUGGCUUGAGUUCGGGAGAGGGAUGCGGAAUUCCAGGUGUAGCGGUGAAAUGCGUAGAUAUCUGGAGGAACACCGGUGGCGAAGGCGGCAUCCUGGACCGACACUGACGCUGAGGAGCGAAAGCCAGGGGAGCAAACGGG
rnacentral:rRNA from 1 species